GCUAGCGUUGCUCGGAAUCACUGGGCGUAAAGCGCACGUAGGCGGAUCUUUAAGUCAGGGGUGAAAUCCCAAGGCUCAACCUUGGAACUGCCUUUGAUACUGGGGAUCUCGAGUCCGGAAGAGGUUGGUGGAACUGCGAGUGUAGAGGUGAAAUUCGUAGAUAUUCGCAAGAACACCAGUGGCGAAGGCGGCCAACUGGUCCGGUACUGACGCUGAGGUGCGAAAGCGUGGGGAGCAAACAGG
rnacentral:rRNA from 1 species